CCUACGGGAGGCAGCAGUGGGGAAUAUUGGACAAUGGGCGCAAGCCUGAUCCAGCAAUGCCGCGUGAGUGAUGAAGGCCUUAGGGUUGUAAAGCUCUUUCACCGGGGAAGAUAAUGACGGUACCCGGAGAAGAAGCCCCGGCUAACUCCGUGCCAGCAGCCGCGGUAAUACGGAGGGGGCUAGCGUUGUUCGGAAUUACUGGGCGUAAAGCGCGCGUAGGCGGCUUGACAAGUUGGAGGUGAAAGCCCGGAGCUCAACUUCGGAAUUGCCUUCAAGACUGUCUCGCUCGAGGCAGGGAGAGGAGAGCGGAAUACCCAGUGUAGAGGUGAAAUUCGUAGAUAUUGGGUGGAACACCGGUGGCGAAGGCGGCUCUCUGGCCCUGAUCUGACGCUAAGGCGCGAAAGCGUGGGGAGCAAACAGGAUUAGAUACCCUGGUAGUCCACGCCGUAAACUAUGAGUGCUAGAUGUUGGGAGGUUUACUUCUCAGUGUCGCAGCUAACGCAUUAAGCACUCCGCCUGGGGAGUACGGCCGCAAGGUUAAAACUCAAAUGAAUUGACG
rnacentral:rRNA from 1 species